rnacentral:rRNA from 1 species
UACGGAGGGUGCAAGCGUUAUCCGGAUUUACUGGGUUUAAAGGGUGCGUAGGUGGGUCUGUAAGUCAGUGGUGAAAUCUCCGGGCUUAACUCGGAAACUGCCAUUGAUACUAUAGGUCUUGAAUUAUCUGGAGGUGAGCGGAAUAUGUCAUGUAGCGGUGAAAUGCUUAGAUAUGACAUAGAACACCAAUUGCCAAGGCAGCUCACUACGGAUAUAUUGACACUGAGGCACGAAAGCGUGGGGAUCAAACAGG